AACUCAUAUUUAGGGCAUUUCUGCAGGAGCUCCUUGAACCUAUCCUAUGUAUCAAAAAGAGACUCCAAUUCUAUUUGCACAAAAGAAGAUAUCUCAUUACUAAGCUU